rnacentral:rRNA from 1 species
GACGAACGCUGGCGGCGUGCUUAACACAUGCAAGUCGAACGGAAAGGCCCUGCUUUUGUGGGGUGCUCGAGUGGCGAACGGGUGAGUAACACGUGAGUAACCUGCCCUUGACUUUGGGAUAACUUCAGGAAACUGGGGCUAAUACCGGAUAGGAGCUCCUGCUGCAUGGUGGGGGUUGGAAAGUUUCGGCGGUCGGGGAUGGACUGGCGGCUUAGCAGCUUGUUGGUGGGGGAGAGGCUCACCAAGGCUUUGACGGGUAGCUGGCCGGAGAGGGUGACCGGCCACACUGGAACGGAGAGACGGUCCAGACUCCUACGGGAGGCAGGAGUGGGGAAUAGUGGACAAUGGGCGGAAGGCUGAUACAGCCAUACCGCGUGGGGGAAGAAGGCCGUCGGGGUGUAAAGCCCGUGUGUGGGGAAAGAAAAGCAGCAGGCUAAUACCCCGCGGUUAGGACGGUACCCAAAGAAUAAGCACCGGCUAACUUCGUG